ACGAACGCUGGCGGCGUGGAUAAGACAUGCAAGUCGAACGAGAGAAUUGCUAGCUUGCUAAUAAUUCUCUAGUGGCGCACGGGUGAGUAACACGUGAGUAACCUGCCCCCGAGAGCGGGAUAGCCCUGGGAAACUGGGAUUAAUACCGCAUAGUAUCGAAAGAUUAAAGCAGCAAUGCGCUUGGGGAUGGGCUCGCGGCCUAUUAGUUAGUUGGUGAGGUAACGGCUCACCAAGGCGAUGACGGGUAGCCGGUCUGAGAGGAUGUCCGGCCACACUGGAACUGAGACACGGUCCAGACACCUACGGGUGGCAGCAGUCGAGAAUCAUUCACAAUGGGGGAAACCCUGAUGGUGCGACGCCGCGUGGGGGAAUGAAGGUCUUCGGAUUGUAAACCCCUGUCAUGUGGGAGCAAAUUAAAAAGAUAGUACCACAAGAGGAAGAGACGGCUAACUCUGUGCCAGCAGCCGCGGUAAUACAGAGGUCUCAAGCGUUGUUCGGAAUCACUGGGCGUAAAGCGUGCGUAGGCUGUUUCGUAAGUCGUGUGUGAAAGGCGCGGGCUCAACCCGCGGACGGCACAUGAUACUGCGAGACUAGAGUAAUGGAGGGGGAACCGGAAUUCUCGGUGUAGCAGUGAAAUGCGUAGAUAUCGAGAGGAACACUCGUGGCGAAGGCGGGUUCCUGGACAUUAACUGACGCUGAGGCACGAAGGCCAGGGGAGCGAAAGGGAUUAGAUACCCCUGUAGUCCUGGCAGUAAACGGUGCACGCUUGGUGUGCGGGGAAUCGACCCCCUGCGUGCCGGAGCUAACGCGUUAAGCGUGCCGCCUGGGGAGUACGGUCGCAAGAUUAAAACUCAAAGAAAUUGACGGGGACCCGCACAAGCGGUGGAGCAUGUGGUUUAAUUCGAAGCAACGCGAAGAACCUUACCAGGGCUUGACAUCCUACUAACGAGAUAGAGAUAUGUUAGGUGCCCUUCGGGGAAAGUAGAGACAGGUGGUGCAUGGUUGUCGUCAGCUCGUGUCGUGAGAUGUUGGGUUAAGUCCCGCAACGAGCGCAACCCCUGUGAUUAGUUGCCAGCGAGUAAUGUCGGGAACUCUAAUCAAACUGCCGGUGAUAAAUCGGAGGAAGGUGGGGACGACGUCAGGUCAGUAUGGCCCUUAUGCCCAGGGCUGCACACGUACUACAAUGCCCAGUACAGAGGGGGCCGAAGCCGCGAGGCGGAGGAAAUCCUAAAAACUGGGCCCAGUUCGGACUGUAGGCUGCAACCCGCCUACACGAAGCCGGAAUCGCUAGUAAUGGCGCAUCAGCUACGGCGCCGUGAAUACGUUCCCGGGUCUUGUACACACCGCCCGUCACAUCAUGGAAGCCGGUCGCACCCGAAGUAUCUGAAGCCAACCGCAAGGAGGCAGGGUCCUAAGGUGAGACUGGUAACUGGGAUG
rnacentral:rRNA from 1 species